AGAUCAAAGAGGCCCUUGAAGAGGAACUUCGGGAUGAGGUGAAGGAGGCCCUUGAAGAGGAGCUGCGACCAGAAAUCCGGCGUGCACUUCUCAAGAAAAAGGUGCAGAAA
rnacentral:ribozyme from 1 species